UCUAGAGCGAUAUAGCUAUUUGUGUUUUCUACUCCGAUAAGAUAAGACGAUAAGUUGCUUUCAUCUCCACCGCCAUAGACUCCUAAUGGGAUAAUUUCUAGAUUUUGUGCCAGACAGAAUGUACUUGAUAGUAACAGUAUGCUAGAUAUUAUUUUUUUCAUUUUUUUCUGAUUUGUGCAAAUUUACUGUACUUAUAAGGAUUCUUUGUUAUCUAAUAAGCAAUAUAUUUUAGCAGGUAUUGGCGUAGUAAUACUUGUAGAAGAUAACUAUAUUUAGUCCUUGAUGACAUUCAUCACUCUUGUGACCUGAUCAGAUUUAUGUAAGGUUAGUCGUACUAUGCUAUCCUCUAGAGCUGUUAGGUCAUGUGGGAUAUUAGGUUCUAGCGCGAUUAAGUGUCCCUCUUUUAAGUCAUAAGGCUUUCCUUCCACCCCGAAUGUUAUCGCUCCUUUUACGAUUUCCACGACUAUAGGGAAGGAUGUCUUAUGUUCUUUCAUCUCUUGUCCUUUUUUGAAUACAAUUCUGAUUUCUUUAGAAAAGUCGUUAUCCACUAGUAUUUUGAUAGCUGGUUUCUUCUCACCAUACUCUAUCUGCUCUAAUAAGUUCUGUAUGUGCAUCAUAUUAUUUAAGUAAUGAUUAGUGUUAUAAAUUUACGAUUUUUUAUUGGUAUAAAUUAUUGUUUAUAAGCUUAUUAAUAAGUUAAUAUAACUCAUGGUGUUAAUUUUUUAUAACAGCGAAUAGCAUUCUGUUUAUUAAUGUUAUCUUGUGUCAUAUCAUUUUAAUUGAAUUUUUAUAUGAAUCAUAAUAUACCAUUCUCAUUCUUAGAUCUUGCGAUUAUAGGUGAGGAUAAAACAACGACUGAAACUUUACAGAAUGUUUUAAAAGUAGCACAACAUAUUGAAAAAGUUGGCUUUAAUAGACUAUGGUUGGCAGAACAUCAUAAUAUGCCACAUAUAGCUUCUUCCGCCACAUCUGUUUUGAUUGGAUAUUUGGCAGGAGGGACAUCUACAUUGAGAAUAGGUUCAGGAGGAGUGAUGUUACCAAACCAUCCAUCUUUAGUUAUUGCUGAACAGUUUGGAACCUUGGAGGCGUUAUAUCCAGGUAGAAUAGAUCUUGGAUUAGGUAGGGCACCAGGUACCGAUCAGGCUACAGCCCUUGCUUUGAGACGUAAUGACGUACAUGCAGCUAAUUUUUUCCCACAACAGAUAGAGGAGCUAAAGCGUUUUUUUAAAGUAAAUGAAGGAGCUAAGGUAAGAGCAUUUCCUGGAGAAGGAUGUGAUAUACCGAUGUGGAUACUAGGAUCUAGUACAGAUAGUGCAUAUUUAGCAGCUGAGUUAGGUUUGCCGUAUGCAUUUGCAAGUCAUUUUGCUCCAGAUCAUUUAUUACAAGCAGCUAAUAUUUAUAGAAAGAAUUUUGUACCAUCUGCACAAUUAGAUAAACCCUAUUUUAUGCCUUGUGUGAAUGCAAUAGUUGCAGAUACGAAUGAAAAGGCUGAACAACUAGCUACAUCAUUUUAUAAAAUGUUUUUAGGAAUUAUUAGAAAUGAUAGAAAACCUCUUCAGAGACCUUGUGAAUCUAUGGAGGGCAAUUGGACAGACUAUGAAGAGUUCAUUGUAAAGCAAAAAACAUUCUUCUCUUUUAUAGGAGACAAAGAAAAAGUAAAAAGUGGUUUAACAGAUUUCUUUAAUACGAUUGAGGUUGACGAGAUUAUGAUCACUACUCCGAUCUAUGGAGUAGAGGAACGCUUAAGAAGUGUUGAAUUGUUUUCAGAGAUUAUGAAAAACAAAUAAAAGUUUUGUUCCUUUACAAUCCUAUAAUAUUUAAAAUAACAGAAUAACGAUGAUAAGAAGUAUUGUCAUAAUGAUGAGUUUAUUUACUUUCUUUUUGAUUUCUUGUAGUGAGUCUACAGUGCCUAAAGAAGUAAAUAUUGGUGAUUUGGGGACGAUAGAGGUUCCUAGUGAACUCUCUCUUGCCAAAAACCUGAAUAAAGAUGCCAUCUUUCAAAUGGAAAAUAAAAAGGAUGAUUUCUAUGUAGUGAUAGUGGAAGAUAAUAAGGUAGAGUUUAAAGAGAUUGUUGAAGAGGUUUAUGGCAAUCCAGCUCCUAACUUUAAAGUAUAUGCUGAAUUAGCGAAUUCUUCUAUCGCUUCUAGUUUGAAUUUAAAACAAGAUACAGAACUAGAACAGACUAGUGUGAAUGGACUACCUGCUUAUUUGACUAGUUAUGAUGGAGAUUUAAAUGGGACUCUCGUUCAUUAUAAACUAGCUUGUAUAGAAGGAAAAGAUAGAUACUAUCAAAUAGUGAGCUGGACUACUAUGGUUAAAAAGAAGAAAUAUGAGAGCGUGAUGACUUCAAUGCUUGAAUCCUUUAAAGAAAAGAAAUAAUUAUAGAGUAAGGCUCUUGUCAGUAGGCAAGAGCUUUUUUCAUUAAAGAAUGUAUUACCUACAGCCCUGGAUUAUAUAGUCUAAGGCUUUUUUAUUGUCAUAAUAAGUUAACCCCCUUCAAGAGUGCGACAAGACCUCUUCAAUAUUGCUUCAAGAAAGAGGUGCUCAGAUAGAGCAAUCUUGGAGAAAUGUUGAAGCGGUGUUGAAGCGGUGUUGAAGAAGUAGGCAUAAAGGCGUGCUACUACUGGGAUUAGGGAGUAUUUAGGUUUUAGAAAAAUAAUACUUGCAAUAUACUUUACUUAUUGAUAGAUAAUUGUUUACGAUGAUAAUUACUCAAUGUGAGAAUAAAAAAAGUGUGUCAGUUUUUAUUCAAAACAAGGAUAUAGCUACUUUAUAAUGAACUUUUCUUCAAAACACACACACCUAUAUAAGUAGAUCAACUACAAAAAAGUAGAUAAAACACCUCUAUAUAGGAUAAAGUAACAUCUAUAAAUAGAUAGAAAGGGUAUAAGAAGGUAUAUUCUCAAUUAUUACAUAUAUAUAAUAGAGUACAAUAUUAAGUACUGCUCUUUACGUAUAUAUAGUAUAGAGACGCCAUAACGUUAUAACCUUUAAAAAAAGACAAAAAAACUUUCUCUCGUAAAAGGUGAUAUAAUAGAGAGUUAUGAAAUAGUUUUCAAAAACCUUUAAAAAAAGGCAAAGAUAAGUUUGGAAGUAAGGGAAAAGAUACUACUUUUGCAUCCGCAUUAGAGAAGUGAUAACGACUCUAGAGGCAGACGAUCAUAAACAAAAAGUGAAGCAAGAGCGACUAGAAAAUAAGCUUUAAAAAAUUUACAAAAAUAAAUUUGCAUAAGUGAAAAAUAAGGUAGUAUCUUUGCAGUCCGCUUCAGUAAAAACGGGAGUUGAGCGAAAAAAUAAAGAAAAAUAUUUUCUUAAAAAGUUUUGCUAAUUCAAAAUAAGUUUUUACUUUUGCACUCGCUUUGAAAAACAAGUGAGGCUUAGAAAUAAGAAGACAACGUUCAUAAACAUAUUGGAUUGACAGCAUACAAAUAAGAGAGUAAGGCAAAUCGAAAAGAUUUGGAAUUAUACUUUUUUAAUUUACGAAAUUAAAAAUAUACGAUGAAGAGUUUGAUCCUGGCUCAGGAUGAACGCUAGCGGCAGGCCUAA
rnacentral:rRNA from 1 species